GGGCGUGUAGUAUAGUUGGUUAUUGCGCCCGCUUCGCACUUGUUGGGAUUGCGGGAGGUCUGGAGUUCGAAUCUCCACUCGUCCA